CAUAGUGAAUGACCACGGGGGAGCAGAGAAGCUAGAGGUGGUGUAAUAAAACUCUGUGAACCGGUAUCAAACAAAAACAUCCCGCUUUUAGCUUUCGUACAUUUCUCCUUGAUGUGGGCCGUCGAAGAAAAUGGAUUCAAGCCACGAAGAGGGAGGAGGGAACACUAUUUAACGUCUAUAAUGUCACAGUUGUUUGUAGCAUAGCAUUUUCGUAUUAGCGACCUGUUCGGAAUAGCUAGCUUCUAACGUUAGCGCUUUAAGUAAAGCCAUGUAGAGUUAAAUAAGACAGUGCCUUGUGUUUGUUCAACGGUCUCUGACACAACCCAAGCCAGGACGUCUGUUUUCACGACGACAACGAGGGACUGGGGUUGUUUGAGAAGUCCAACCGUGUGGAAAGGAAGAUGUUGCUGUUGCUAGCUUAGCUAGCUUUGCUUCGGACAACGAACUAGCGAACGACCGUCCCGGUGCAUUGGAUGCAAGCUCACACGAGGAUAAAGGAACUGGAGGUGCUUGUGUUGACACGACAUCAAUGAAGGUAAUUCGUCUCACCAAGUCCUCCCCUCGGAAAUGUCCGACUUGGUGUCAGUGACUGUCGCACCAGGGAAGGGAAGGCUAGUGACCACAAGCUAACCUUGCUCCCAGAUGGAUCACAACAAAGCCACAGAAGAAACCUUGACCUGCCAGAGAUCCACGUAGUGAUCCACGUACUCCAGCCCCUGCCUCAUAGCUGUGGUUUGCCAUGUUUCCUUGAGGAUCCUCCCUGCCAACCACUGCCGGGUCUUAUUCCCCCUGGCAGCAAGGACUUCAUGACUUGCUUUGAGCCUGCUCUCUUCACAGGUGGCUCAGAGUGUACAUACAUACACACAUAUAUAUAGAUAAUUGGGUUAUAGUUUGUUCAUUGUGUUCAUUUUGUGUGUACUUUUCUAUGUUUUGUAUUUCUAUAAUGUCCACACGUUUUUCAAUAAAACAUGUGUCUUGUUGGUACUUUGACACUAACCUUUGU